UGCAUCUCUGUCUUUGACUUGUUUUCUCACAGAGGAAUUGGAAAUUGCAGUUGUUUUGUGAUGUGUAAAUUUUAUGUGGAAGAGGACAUGUGAAUAUUUGGGGAGACAGAAACCAAGGCACUUAAAAUGCAGAAAAAACAACAUUUUCAGAGAGAAUAUGAACUCUGAAAUAGUGAAGAUUAAACACAGAUAGUUCACGUCUUGUUACUCUUUCUUCUUUCUCUUCUCCUCUAACUCAAGAAGGUCUUCCAAUACCUUGUCAUCCAAAUACUCAAACUCAAUCACUUCCCCUUGUGCAGUAGAAGAACUUCCAAUGACACUAGUAGUAGAAGAAGAAGAAGAAGACGAUGAUGAGAAGAAAGGGAAAUGAGAAUGGUACUCCUGAGGGAAAUUAAGGAUUGCAAGAGCACCCCUUAAUUCUAUGGCUGCUCGAUCAUAAGCUCUUGCUGCUGCUUCUGCAGUGUCAAAUGUCCCCUACCAUUGUCUUCCCGUAGGUUUUGUUGGGUCUCUGAUCUCUGCUCCAAACUUACCCCAUGGCCUCCUUCUCACACCACGGUACCUUCCUUCUUCCCCUUUCUCCUUGUUAACUUUACCUGACUCCUCCAUGUUGUAACCUCUUGUUCUUCGGUUAUUCCCAGGUAACAGAAACAAUCUUAUUCGAGAUUGGAUAUUGGCUAUGAAUUUCUCUUUAAAUAGAAACUCCGACGUUGAUUCAGCAUGUUGUGAGAGACAAGAGUUUUGUAUGUGUUGGAUCAGUUAUGC
rnacentral:lncRNA from 1 species